rnacentral:snRNA from 1 species
GGUAGAGCAUUUGACUUGUA